AGAACGAACGCUGGCGGCAUGCCUAAUACAUGCAAGUCGAACGAGAUCCUUCGGGGUCUAGUGGCGCACGGGUGCGUAACGCGUGGGAAUCUACCCCUGGGUUCGGAAUAACAGUUGGAAACGACUGCUAAUACCGGAUGAUGACGAAAGUCCAAAGAUUUAUCGCCCAGGGAUGAGCCCGCGUAGGAUUAGCUAGUUGGUGAGGUAAAGGCUCACCAAGGCUACGAUCCUUAGCUGGUCUGAGAGGAUGAUCAGCCACACUGGGACUGAGACACGGCCCAGACCUCCUACGGGAGCAGCAGUAGGGAAUA
rnacentral:rRNA from 1 species